GAAGCUAACCCGUACUAAUUGCCCGUGAGGCUUGACCAUAUAACGCCAAAGCAGUUGAACUGCAUCUGAUAGAAUGAGUGUUGGAUAAACGCUCUGACGCUGGACUUCCUAAUUUCUCAGAAUACUUUGCUGGCUUAGCCAGUGAGGUAAACAGAUUUGGCUGCUUGCCAUGGCAAGUGACCAAGCCGGUUUGCCUGACGACUAUAGCGAGUGGGAACCACCUGAUCCCUUGCCGAACUCAGAAGUGAAACCGCUCAGCGCCGAUGGUAGUGUGGGGCUUCCCCAUGUGAGAGUAGGUCAUCGUCAGGC
rnacentral:rRNA from 1 species